rnacentral:lncRNA from 1 species
CGGGGGUUAGGAUUUGAGAGCUAGCUUGAAGCUCUUUUCAGAGGCAUAAGGAUUAUUUUAUAGGAUUUUUGAAGACUUAAUAAUUAUUGAUUAAAGUCAGAUUUAUAUUGGUGAUUUGGAUUUUAUAUAAUAUAAUUAAGGCUAGUAAUUUUGGCUAGUUCAUGCAAUUAAUGUAGCAUCUAUAGUUUAAAAUUUGAUACUGUUUGGGUUAUUAGGUGUGCUAAGUGUAUACAAAAUCUUGUAAUAAUCUAAUAGUGUGAUUUAGAGAUAUUUAGUUUUUAGCACAAGAGGGUUUCAGAAGAUGGCAGAUUAGAGUUGGAUAGGGUUUUUGUGAUAUCUAGAGAUCUACUAGUUGGGUCAAGGUGAAAUUGGCAUGGUGUUGAUUGACUUUGAAUUGAAUAAAGUGGCACACUAAUUUUGAAUUGAAGUUAAUAGUUAGAGAAGGAAAAAUCACUACUAGAACUUUUGCUUCACCUCUCAAGUUGGUGGCCGAGUGACAUCAAUGUAAUUUUUGGAGGUUUUUUCACAAUCUAUAAGUUGGAUUGGACUAAAAAUUCUUGAGCAUUGUCAUGUUGUAACACAACUAUAUGAUAAAAAUAUAAAUAAAAAAUAUUUUAUUAAUAUUUAGUCAUCUUGGAUGUUAGAAACAGUGACCAAUUCCAGUGCUAAUAUGCAGGGGCCAGUUAAUGUCACCUCAUUGCAAGCUAUACCACCGUACAUGACAUGAGCAAUAUGCUCCACCAGCAUCAUCAAAUCAAGUACCCUCCAUACCAACAGGACAACCAAGAUCAUUUUCUAAUCCUACAUGGAAUAAGCUUAGUAGAUAUAUAUUGGUGGAGACACCCAAUAUGCUUGAUGGGGGUGCAAGAAGA